UUUCCGUAGGUGAACCUGCGGAAGGAUCAUCAACAAAAUUCAAAAAACAAAAAAACACCAAUUUCAUUCCAAAAUUUUAUUGGAAUGUUUUAAUUUUUAAUGGGGACGUGGAGAUUUCUAAUUUUGUAAUUAGAUUAGUCUCAUGCCCCAUCAUUUAAAACUCCUACCAAAACAACUUGAAAAAAGAAAAUUCCAAAAAAUGGUAAAAUAUAAAAAAAGAGACAACUUUUAACAAUGGAUCUCUUGGCUCUC
rnacentral:misc_RNA from 1 species